GUUCCCCCCGUGUCGCUGUUCCCCCCGUGUCGCUGUUCCCCCCGUGUCGCUGUUCCCCCCGUGUCGCUGUUCCCCCCGUGUCGCUGUUCCCCCCGUGUCGCUGUUCCCCCCGUGUCGCUGUUCCCCCCGUGUCGCUGUUCCCCCCGUGUCGCUGUUCCCCCCGUGUCGCUGUUCCCCCCGUGUCGCUGUUCCCCCCGUGUCGCUGUUCCCCCCGUGUCGCUGUUCCCCCCGUGUCGCUGUUCCCUCCGUGUCCGUAUUCCUCCCGUGUCCGUAUUCCUUACCUGCACCUUUUCCUGCAGGUGGGACUCAGGGUACUUGUUCAGCACAUGUGCUUUCCUCUUCGUCUUCUAGGAGGGAGUGGUUGGGUCUGGGCUCCCUGUUCCCAAGCCCACGUUGUGUUCAUGGCUGUGGCUGCCUGGGUGAUGAGUGUGAGUUUGCACCUGGGUUUCCCUGGGCCUUAAGCAGACAGCGUCACCCUCAGAGCCAUCACCACUGUGAAUCAUUUGGAUCUUUUUCCAUCUGGGCAUAAAAUUGUAUGUGUAGACAA
ensembl:lncRNA novel transcript